GGGGGUGUAGCUCAGCUGGGAGAGCGUUGCCUCGGCAAGGCAAAGGCCGUCGGUUCGAUCCCGAUCACCUCCACCA
rnacentral:tRNA from 1 species